GACGAACCGUACGAACGUUAUUCGGAAUCACUGGGCUUAAAGGGUGCGUAGGCGGCGCGACAAGUUGGGUGUGAAAUCCCUCGGCUCAACCGAGGAACUGCGCCCAAAACUGUCGUGCUCGAGGGAGACAGAGGUGAGCGGAACUUAGGGUGGAGCGGUGAAAUGCGUUGAUAUCCUAAGGAAUACCGGUGGCGAAAGCGGCUCACUGGGUCUCUUCUGACGCUGAGGCACGAAAGCUAGGGUAGCGAACGGG
rnacentral:rRNA from 1 species